GCUCAUGGCUCAGCCAGUAGAGCAUGAGACUCUUAAUCUCUUAAUGAGAUUUGUGGGUUUGAGCCCCACAUUGGGCA